rnacentral:pre_miRNA from 1 species
UUAGAUCAUAUUUGUAUGGAAAGGGAUCGUUCGCCUACGUUUGCCGCUAGGGGCGCUGUUCCAACUGCAUACAAAAUUGGGUUA